AGUGAAGCGGCAAAGCUCAAAUUUGAAAUCUGGCGUCUUUGGCGUCGAGAUGGAAUUUGAAGAAGGUAUCUUUGGGCCCGGCUCUUGUCUAUGUAUCCUGUGGAACAGGACGUCACAGAGGGUGAGAAUCCCGUGCGAUGAGAUGACCCGGGUCUGUGUAAAGUUCCUUCUACCUCGUCGAGUUGUUUGGGAAUGCAGCUCUAAGUGGGUGGUAAAUUCCAUCUAAAGCUAAAUAUUGGCGAGAGACCGAUAGCGAACAAGUACAGUGAUGGAAAGAUGAAAAGAACUUUGAAAAGAGAGUGAAAAAGUACGUGAAAUUGUUGAAAGGGAAGGGCUUGAGAUCAGACUUGGUAUUUUGCAUGCUGCUCUCUCGGGGGCGGCCGCUGCGGUUUACCGGGCCAGCAUCGGUUUGGAGCGGCAGGAUAAUGGCGGAGGAAUGUGGCACGGCUUCUGCUGUGUGUUAUAGCCUCUGACGAUACUGCCAGCCUAGACCGAGGACUGCGGUUUUUACCUAGGAUGUUGGCAUAAUGAUCUUAAGUCGCCCGUCUUGAAACACGGAC
rnacentral:rRNA from 1 species